CUAGGAUCCUUAGUAACGGCGAGUGAACCGGGAUGAGCUCAAAUUUGAAAUCUGGCGUCUUUCAGGCGUCCGAGUUGUAAUCUAUAGAGGCGUUUUCCGCGCCGGACCGCGUCCAAGUCUCUUGGAAUAGAGUAUCAAAGAGGGUGACAAUCCCGUACUUGACGCGACAACCGGUGCUCUGUGAUACGUUCUCAAUGAGUCGAGUUGUUUGGGAAUGCAGCUCUAAAUGGGUGGUAAAUUCCAUCUAAGGCUAAAUAUUGGCGAGAGACCGAUAGCGAACAAGUACCGUGAGGGAAAGAUGAAAAGCACUUUGGAAAGAGAGUUAAACAGCACGUGAAAUUGUUAAAAGGGAAACGAUUGAAGUCAGUCGUGUGGGAAGUAUUCAGCCGUCUCUGGCGGUGUAUUUGCUUCUCACGGGUCAACAUCAGUUUGAUCCGGUAGAAAAAGGCGGGAAGAAGGUGGCACCCUCGGGUGUGUUAUAGCUUCCUGUCAUAUGUGCCGGACCAGACUGAGGAACGCAGCUUGCAGCAAUGCCGGGGUUCGCCCACGUACAAGCUUAGGAUGUUGACAUAAUGGCUUUAAACGA
rnacentral:rRNA from 1 species